rnacentral:rRNA from 1 species
CAGUGGCGAACGGGUGAGUAACACGUUGGUGACCUGCCCCGAGGUGGGGAAUAGGUGUGGGAAACCACGGCUAAUACCCCGGAUGUUAAAGAGUUUAGACAUCUUUAACUAAAGUUCCGGCGCCUCGGGAGGGGCCUGCGGGCUAUCAGCUUGUUGGUGGGGUAACGGCCUACCAAGGCUAAGACGGCUAGGGGGCGUGAGAGCGCGACCCCCCACAAUGGAACUGAGAAACGGUCCAUACUCCUACGGGAGGCAGCAGUGAGGAAUAUUGCACAAUGGGGGAAACCCUGAUGCAGCAACGCCGCGUGAACGAUGAAGGCCUUCGGGUUGUAAAGUUCUUUUCUGGGGGACGAUAGUGACGGUACCUCAGGAAUAAGUCCCGGCUAACUACGUGCCAGCAGCCGCGGUAAAACGUAGGGGGCGAGCGUUAUCCGGAUUUAUUGGGCGUAAAGCGCAAGUAGGCAGCGUUGUAAGUUGGACGUGAAAGCUCCCGGCUCAACUGGGAGAGGUCGUUCAAAACUACAGUGCUCGAGGUUGGAAGAGGAGAGUAGAAUUCCCGGUGUAGUGGUGGAAUGCGUAGAUAUCGGGAGGAAUACCAGUGGCGAAAGCGACUCUCUGGUUCACACCUGACGCUGAGGUGCGAAAGCGUGGGGUAGCGAACGGGAUUAGAUACCCCGGUAGUCCACGCCGUAAGCGAUGGAUACUAGGGUUUAGGGGGUCACUGAAUCCCUCGGCGCCGUAGCAAACGCGUUUAAGUAUCCCGCCUGGGGAUUCAAGCCGCAAGGGUUAAAACUCAAAGGAAUUGACGGGGCCCGCACAAGCAGCGGAGCGUGUGGUUUAAUUCGACGAUACGCGAAGAACUUUACCUGGGCUGAACUACGUGGUAGUAGAGAAAGCGAACGCGGAUCGACCCUUCGGGGAGCCUCGUAUAGUCGCUGCAUGACUGUCGUCAGCUCGUGUCGUGAGAUGUUGGGUUAAGUCCCGCUACGAGCGCAACCCUUGUCGUUAGUUAUACGUGUCUAGCGAGACUGCCGG